UCCAGCCUGGGUGACACAGCAAGACUCCGUCUCAAAAAAAAAAAAAAUUUCUUUUCUUGUGUGUUGUUUGACUCUGUUUAUGGUUAUAAUUUUAGUUUUCAUUAAACAGAAGUUUUUCCACAUUGAUUUGAAACACAACGUUGACAUAAAGCUAUAAAUGCCAUUGUUCCUGUCCUGGCCAAUGACAUGUAAUCAGAAGUCAUUAGACUAAGAAUCCAGAAAAGGCACAGACUCAGCUAGUGGACAGUGUCUGGAUAAAAGCAAACAUUAAACAUAAAAUCCGCCCUCAAGAAGCCUAUUUUCGCAAACAAUCAUCUUCCAUACCCACUUUGAUGAGAUAAUCAUCUAAUGAAAACAAAUUGAUGGUAAUCAAAUUGAUGGUAUACAUUAAAAGAGGUAAAAAUUAAAGACAAAAGAAGUAUUGGUAAGUAGUUCAGAAAUGUGUACAUUUAAAACAAAAAUAUGAGAUUAAGAGAAAACUAACCUGGUAUUUAGAUGUUUUUGUUGUUUUGCUUAUGUUUAACUUUUAGACUUUCUCAUAGAGACAUUGUAACUAAAAUCCACACUUCUGUAAUAUUGCGCUUGUAAUUUCCAUUUCAAACCCUAAAGCAAAAUUUAAUUUAAUUCAAUUUGCAGUUUGGAGCACAGUGUAGACAAUUUAAACUUAACUAUAUCUAAUUAUUUUCACCAUUUUGUGUUUUAAAAUUAACAACAAAUCUUGCAAUAGCAUAUAUUCUAAUAUGUUCCUUUUCAAUUGGUGAUAAAUGGCAGCAGAAAUCCUUGUAAGGAAAGGAUCCAA
rnacentral:lncRNA from 1 species